AGAAUAUGUAUCUGCAAAAUCAUCAAUAUUCUGAUGAUAUGUAUUGGUCCAGACUGAAACCAAUUCAAGGAUUGAAAAGAAAAAAGAAAUCGUCAUAUGCCUGAAAAUGUAAAAUGUCGAGCCCGUGCUUUACACGGGCUAAAUCUAUCUAGUGUAUUAUAUAGAUAAGGAGAGAUGGUCGACCAUGGGGCAAAAUUAUCAUUUUUCUCAAAGGAAAAAGUUCUUGUAUCUAACUCCAUCUCUUCCGACCUUUUUUUAUUCCUCAUCCUCCAUACACGACAUGGGUCUAGAAACAUCUUCCGACUUCUAUCUCUUCUGUUCCAACACAUCAGAGGAGUACUUCAGUUCUCUUUCUUCAAACUUUCAACUAUAACUUUUUUCAUCUUCUUAUUUAUCUAUUAAAUUUCAGGGAUGAAUUUCCUUGAAUUUCGUGUUUUUCAACCAGAUGAUGAGGAAUCACCAUUUUAAGGGUUAUUCUCCGUCCAAUUUCAUUGUUGUUGCCUUCUUCUCGCUGAUUCGCCUCUAUCUCUUCUUCUUAUGGUAUUGACAUUUAUUAUUCUGCUAACUUAAAAACAAAAGGAAUAUUUAGUUUUACUCCUAAUGCAUGUUGUUCUUCCGUUUCUUUACCUUUUUUUCUUUCUUUUUGUAUAUUUUAUAUUUUCAUGAAUUGUGAAUCGCGAAUAUGUUUCCAGGUUCUUCAUAACUGCCUCUUUGCACACCUCUCACUCUCCAUAGCCGAGGGAAAAAAAAACUGGAACUCAUGAUAACCCAAUUUUAAUAAAGCACUAAAAUUGGUGUAUGGGUUGAGAUUGACAUAAAUUGAAUAAAUUAAGUCGAAUAACUAUAGAAAAAAAAUUUGUGCAUGUGAAUUUUUAUUGACAGAUUUUAUUCAUCAUCUCGUAUCUUAGGAAGGGUUAAUAAGGCUUAAGAUGAUUUGGGAACUCUUCUUAGAAGUUGUGUUCGAGCAACAUCUGUUUGUUUGAAUUUAAAUUCGUUUAUCUGGCUAGGAAUUUAAGGAAUAAGGAAGGUAUUUUAAAGGGCAUGUAAUGAGAUUGCUUUAUAUGAUGACUCAUUAUUGUUAGAGGGAUUUGAAAGUAAAAGAAUGGAGGAGUAACAACUUGUUUGGAUAAUUGUUACCCAUUGUAUCGUAUUGUAUUGUUAUCCUAAAACAAUAUUUGUUUUGAUUGUCUAUUUAAAAUUGAUUGUAUCGUAUUGUUAAAUUCAUUGUUCCGGAAUAACCAAAAGUUCCAUUUUGUGAAACAACCGAUUUGGUGUGGUGCGAUCGUUUCCUAUUUUCAUUUCUAAUUAUGUCCUUACUUAUUACUUCAUAAUUCUAUUUUAUCAUUUAAUUUUUUUUUAUUUUAACUCCAAAUCUCCAACAUAUUUACCUACUUUGUCUUCUUCCAUCUUUUCUAGAGUUGGUUUGCCUCGUUCUUUUUAUUAUCCAAGUCUCCGUUCAAUUCUUUGUCUCUUUUCACCGUUUUAACUUUUUUUGGUGUUUCUAAUAUUAGUUAACUUUUUUUUUCCAGGUUUUUGCUCUUGUUUCCAAGCUACGUAAUUAAUGAUAAAUUAGUAGAAAGAGGUUUUCUUAAAUUAUUUUUAUGUGUAAUUCUUGAUAAAUUUUAUUUAAAAUAAUUGCGGGUAUUUUAGUGAACUUAUCGGUUACAGUACUGUACGAUACAGCCAAAUCAACAACAAAAAUAUUAUUUAACAACAACAAACGGUAUAAUCUAUUCAAACGUUGUAUCCAUAAAAUAAUACAAUACAAUACAAUACAGUACAAAAUAAUACAUUAUAAAACGAUGGGUAACAAUGAUCCAAACAUAGUAUAAGUAGUAGAGUACUGAGGAUUGAUAGAGAUUGUAUGAACUUGCAACAGUAUGCAACAACUUUGAGAAACAGACGAGGGGUGGAGAUGUAAGGGCGUGUAUAAAAGGAGAUCUGAGCCAAGGAUGUAACUUAAUUUAUUUAUUUUACUUUUUAUUCCCUGUUUGUUGGCAUUUGCUAAUAUAAUGUGUAUUCAACAAUAAAGUAUAGUUGUUUGUCUUAUUGAGAAUUCUGAUUAUCCCAUCUUUAAGCUUAAAUGGUCUUAUUAUCAGUUGAUGUGUUCAUGUAGCUAGGUACUAAAUCAGCAUAUGCUAUCUUCACCUAUUCUUUUUUAUUGUUUUCCACUUUUAUGCAAUUUCAUUGGAAUAUUAUUUAAGUUUAUAUUUUGUUUAGAUAUUUUGACCGAAAGUACAAGUGACAUAUUGAUCUUGCCAUCUUGGAUACUUGGCUGUCUGAUUCACUUGGUUACUUUUUGAUAGUUGGUUUGUUCUUUUGUUAGUUCAGCACACGAAUGCACAUGAGUUAUCAGGUUUGUGUAUUUAUCAAAGGAAAAUAUUAUUGCGUUCCUACAUGCACUAUGCUUUUACAUACAUAUAGUAUGUAUAAAAAACAUUCUUCCAUGAUGAUUACUUUUAACAUUUGUAAAUUAAAACUAUUAUAGAGAACCCCAAAAAGGAUUAUUUUCAAGGUCAUGGAAGCGUACUCAAAGGUCCUCCUCCAUCACUUCAAGUGGCAAAGGUUGUGAACUAUGUGUCUUGGUACACUUCUUUCUAUACCUCAAGGCCUCAACAUGUUGUUCUCCACUUCUUUUUUGGGUAUAAGUUAUUUUCUCCAUGUUUAUGAUUAUCAUUGUGAUUAUUGAUGGUAAGGCCUAGCAGCUGCAUUCAGUUACUUGAAUCAACUGCUUACAUUUGUGCUUUUAAUAUAUUUCAUCGCUUUCAUACUGUACUUACAAGUUUAAUGAUCAGCUAUAUUCUUUUAAUAGUAUGGAACAUAUGGUGACUAAAUCUAGCAUGCAAAAUACUUUUCUCCUUUUUAGAAAAGAUAGUAUUCUAAUGCAUGAAAUAACUAGUGAUCGAGGAGGUUUUAUAUUCAUAUCUGAAAGUUCUAGCUUUGAUGUUGCUUAUUAUUUGUGACUACAAGAGUUUUUUUAAUUUUCAUUUGGCUAGAUAGGUAGGGUGAUUUUUGAUACAAUAGCAUGUAGUAGUAUUAUCUUUCGGAAUUAAAUACUUCAUAAAAUUAUACUAUUGUUAGAUAUUGAGUUUUAUUUGUGAGUUGAAGUACAAUAACUCUUUAGCACACUGUAUUGUUACCAUGAGAUAUUUUUUGUUCUAUGAGUUCAUCUACUAAGAUUAAGGACAAAUAAAACAAGGAAUCAAGGAUAGUUUUGCAUGAGUAUUGUAGAGUAUAUUUGGUAACUGUGACAUGGUAUAACUUUGUUUGUUUCCUUGAUUUAUAAGUCUUUGCAAAUUACAUAUAAAAAUGCACUUAUAAAAAAGUACAGUUUAUGCAAAAGCGGUGACAGGAACAAACCAAAAAUUUGAGAAAGAAAAAUAUAUAUAUAUAUAUUACCUAGGCUGAGUGUCAUUUCAAAUAUAAGGUGUUCUUGCAGAUAGAGUAACACAAAAUCGUCAAUGGUACUUGGCUGAGAAGUUCGUUGAUUAACUUUUGAUUGGGAAGUAAUAGAAAGCUGAUCAUUCAUCAAAGGGAGAUUCAAAAGAACUCCAUGACCGAGGAUAAGAAGUUAUGUGAAGAGUACCCAAUAGUAGAUGUUUCCAGUAAACUAUGUUAUCUCUUUUGUUCAUAGUGCAAAUACAUUUGGUUGAUUACGUAGCAUAGGAUGGUGGGUAGGGAAUGGAGAGCAAAUACAUUUGGUUGAUUACGUAGCUUGAGUUUGAUUUUGUAUAUAAAGGGAGUAGAAGAAAAGGAAAUAUUUGCUCAGUUUCAGUAAGUCUAGGGAGACAAUAUACAUUGUUCUAUGUUUGUCACUAUUUUCCAAGGUUAGCAUUGUGCUUCAUCUUUGUGAACUUAUGUCUAUUCUAAAUCAUUUAUAGUUUUUUAGGA